GAAGAGGACAGAGAGAGGUGAACAGAGAAGAUGCCAUGAGACAUCCUAUGUCUUCAAGAACUUCCCUUCAAGAUGGAAGGAAACUACAACAUAGCACCUUGCAGACACAGAACUGAAGCUGAAGUUUAAAGGAAAGAGGCGAUUUGUACAUAAAAGCACUUGGAAGUGAUCACUCGUGUCAAGUGGUGGUUUUCUUCAUCAGCCUGGGUCCAGAGAGAGGAGGUGUGAAGUACAGCUCUCAUAUGACCCAUCACAUACAAGUUACAUUUACUGGUAUGCUGGUGUCUGAGUCAGGGUUACUAUUGCUGUGAUGACCAAAAUGACUUGUGGAGGAAAGGUUUGUUUUACUUAUGCUUGCACAUCACUGCUCAUCAUCAAAGCAAGUCAGGAUUGGAACUCAAACAGAACAGAAACCUGGAGGCAGGAGCUGACGCGGAGGCCAUGGAGGGGUGCUACUUACUGGCCUGCUCCUCAUGGCUUUCUCAGCCUGCUAUCUUAUAGAACCCAGGACCACCAGCACUGGUAUAGCCCCACCUACCUUAGUCUGGGCCCUCCCCUACAAAUCACUAAUUAAGAAAAUAUCAUUCAGGUUUGUCUGUGUAUAACCUGAUCUUAUGGAAGCAUUUUCUCCAUUAAGGUGCCUUCCACUCAGAUGCCUAGAGCUUGUGACGAGCUGACAACAAAGUGGCCAGCUGGCCUGUGCUCCGUAGCUUCAGUAAGAGCAAACCUCCCUGCAGCUCUCUCUGGAACAGAAUUAGGAAACGGCCCAUGCUGUGACUAGUCAACUCUCAGUUCAUGCCUCCUGACUCCUCUGAUUCUUGUUGCAAAUGCUGAACUAACUCAUAUGCGACACUUCCUGUCAUCCC
ensembl:lincRNA Gm43298 predicted gene 43298